ensembl:lncRNA
UAUUCACACCGAUCCAUACACUGAUGACAGGAGCUACACAAAGCCGCCUUAUUCUGCCAUCAGUACUAUGAUUCAUUAACAUUCACCAACCUCAUGCUCAGCAUGAUGUUAGUAGACUAUAUACUUGGGACUCUAUGUAUGGUGUUGUCGUUCUGACAAUCAUUAAGUCAAAAUGUAAAUGUGUCCAGCACUUUGGCUCAUGAAACAACACAACCGGCAGUUUAGCAUUGUUAUACAUUCACAUGGUAACCACCGAUAUCACCUAAAGCUGGAGGAAACAUGCCACAAAAUUAAAAAUACACACUUGUGUUUUUUGUGCUCCAAAACUUGUGCUCCACAACUCUUGGAUUUGAGUGAGUGGAGGCUCCGUUUCGAGAUUAGUCUUGUUGAUUAUUUCAGAACAAGGCCUUCCUCUGUGUCAAGGAACGGGACAAAUUGAACUCCAGAUAAUCCACAAGAUCCUAAAAGCCACCGGCGUUCUCACAAAUCAUGUAGACAUUGCAGCAAGCAUGUGUAUGGGAUUUGUUACCUUCAAUGCAACGUGUGUGCCUCCAGGAUGGUUUGGCUGAACCCUUGUUAGUGGGAGUGCAUGGUUGUUGGCGUGGCCUGGGGUUACCAACUGGGGUCAACACAACUACAGGAACGAAUCACAUCACACACACACACACGACAGAAUGAAAUGUAGGUGUGCAUUCUGAAACUAAGUUCAAUCCAAUUGAGUCACAUUUUGUAUGUGAAACAAUCAGGAAUCAGGAAUCAGGGAACAUUUAUUGCCAAAAUAUGUCAAACCUACAAGGAAUUUGUCUUGGCGGUUGGUGCGUGACAGUAGACACAAAACAGACAAUAGACAACAAGACAACAACCAAUGUAAUCGUCAGCUUGAAUUUCUGAGUAACCACAAUCAGAAGGUUUUUAAAAGGCGCCUUUCAAUAUUCCAGAUAACAUCUUUAUGCCUUAGAGCUUUAAAACCUCCUCUCCUUCAUGUUAUUUUCCCAUUUCUUUCUGUAUUCUCUCUCUCUGCUCUCCCCUCUGUCAACACAUCUGAGGUUAUUUAUCUUCCAUUCUGUGGCAGAAAUGUGGUCCGCAUGUGUUUGGCUUCCCUCCACUCAGAACUCAUCUGUAGUCCACCUAGGAGUCACUAGUGGACCGUAGCAGACCUACCAAGCAAACAAGUGUUCGAGCCACACUAGAUAUGUGCCACACUGAUGGUUAGGGAUUUCUAAGUAUAUCCUUGCUCAUGCACAAAACAUUACUCCAUCUUCUGCUAACGACGUAUCUCACAUUUGACCCAAAGUUCUGUUGUAAACGUGCAGGCAGACCUUUCCCCCUUCAUUUCUAUUGGGUGAACGAUCGACAGCACGACCUGCAGGAAUUAGAGGGUCUAAAUGGAAUAUUGGGGUUGCUUAAACCUAUGGAAUUGCAUUACUCUGACCUUUAAACUUUUAAUCUCAAUGUUAUUUAAUACUCUGGAAGGAGUCUAGACCCUGGAAAACAUGAUGUUAGAAAAAGAUCAACCUAGAUACCACAGUGGAGACAUGCAGGGGUUUAGGAGGUUUCACUUAUGUAUUAACAGGCCUUGUUUUGUCUGGUUGAAUGGAACCAUCUGUAUGGUUUUCAUAUCCAGCUGGUCUACACAGCAACACAUCGUCCUCUCGCUUGGACCCUACAACUAUAACUGAAAGUCCUGAAAAGUAAUCACUCUUCUGGAAACAUGCCGUUUUUGAAAAGGCAGAGAUCGACUGUUUGUACGACUCAUAUAAAAUAUUAGUAGAACCUUUGACUCAGACAUGAACUAAAUUUAAAAACUAAUCGCAUUUUAGUAAAUAAAAUGUAAAUAAGGAAUACUGUUGGUACAACUAGUCACUGCACGCACUGCUAACACAUGCAAGCAAGAGAAUUUAUGCCUGACUCUUAAUUAAAUCCUAUCGUGAUACACUAUUAUUCUCAUUGAGGCACAUUCUAACACACAAAGCCACAAGUGCUUUGCAGAGAUAAAUAAACAAUUUAGCAUUUACGUUAAAAAGCCAUCUGACACUAAUUUGUGAUUUGGGGCAAUACAAAAGAAAUUGAAUGGAAAAUGAAAUUGAAUCAUGAUUUGGGGAUUUUCUUUUUCUUAAUUGUGCUGGUUUUCAUUUGUGAUUGGGCUGUAAACUGGCAAACCGCCUGGAGCAUUUACCCCCUUAAUGCAGUUUGUUUGGGUGCAUCAACUAACCGCUGCCUGGUCUCUCUAUCAUUGUUGGUGCUGGCGGACCGUGACUCACCGCUCCCUCAACGGGAGCCUCUAAGUACCCCCCGGGCUUGUCCGGUUGAGUCUACUGAAACUCCCUGGGGGAUCCAUUAAGGACCAAGGGACCCAAGACCUCUCUUCUACUGGUCUACUGGACUACUGGUAGCCUCGACCACGACAACGUACAUACAGGAGCCAUCAACCCAAGAAGGCAGGAUGAUUGAUGGAAGGCACUGAUUGAAUGUCGGAUGGAUCGUCAUUGUCAAGCAGUUUCAGUCUGAGAGCUGUUGGAGCUCCACCUAGAUUCUAGAUUGAGUUAACGGUAUAGUUUUGGAAGACAGGUAACUGCAGCUACCACACAGGGUGGAGGAAAGAUAGUGACUUGAUUGGACAGAGAAUCCUCCGAGACAUACUGUCGAGUGAGGGCAUCUGGAACCAGGUAUAGGUGGGUGUUCAACAACAACGCCCUGUGUGUAACUGCCUGGCUUUUUUCCUUGUUAGCAUCUAGCUUCGAUACAAUAGGCCCUGAAACGCACAGUCUGCUUAGUUUUGGCAAAAUAUUGGUAUGAUAUUUUGGUGUGUGGUAGAAUUUUCAGGGAUCACAGGGCUUUGUUCCUCAUGGGCCUCAGGUUGUAAAUAGUGUGUGAUGGGAAACUGGAGACAGUGUGGGUAAAAAACGGCGGGAAAGUGAACAACGACAGGAGGUAAUAUAAGAAGUAUGGUUUGGUAGUCUACAAAAUAAAACCAGAUUUGAAGUGCACCAUAGUCGUGAAAGUGUGGAAAAAGAAACGGCACAUUAAGGAGUCAGAUGAUGAAUGCAAGGGCUUUAUUUAUUUCUUCAGCAUAAUAGAAACAACACAUCCAUAAAGCACUGCAGUACAAAGUAGAACGGAAAAGACGCUUUAUGUUGUUGUAUUAAGUGAUAUGUGGCAAGUGGUUUCCCUUUGAUAGUGGCUGCCUUCGUUUCUCCGUCAGACUAGUGCACCGAGUAUAGAGACAUUUCAAAGCUUCAGCGAACUUAAAAAAAAAAAGAGCAGAAAAAUAAAUACUGUACAACACCAUAUGUAAUACUAGAUUCAAAGAUCACAACAAGAUCACACUUUCCUCAACAGAACACUUUGUAUAUACACUUUCACAGAACAAUGCAGCGUUUCUGGUUUGUUUCCCUCCAUAAUAGCAGUAUCAACAAAUGGCCAAUAGGAGUAGUGAUUUUUGUUUGUCUAUUUGUGUGUGUAUAUAUAUAUAUAUAUAUAUACGCCAUA